GACGAACGCUGGCGGCGUGCUUAACACAUGCAAGUCGAACGGAAAGGCCCUUCGGGGUACUCGAGUGGCGAACGGGUGAGUAACACGUGGGUGAUCUGCCCUGCACUCUGGGAUAAGCCUGGGAAACUGGGUCUAAUACCGGAUAGGACCAUGGCCUGCAUGGGCUGUGGUGGAAAGCUUUUGCGGUGUGGGAUGGGCCCGCGGCCUAUCAGCUUGUUGGUGGGGUGAUGGCCUACCAAGGCGACGGCGGGUAGGCGGCCUGAGAGGGUGUCCGGCCACACUGGGACUGAGAUACGGCCCAGACUCCUACGGGAGGCAGCAGUGGGGAAUAUUGCACAAUGGGCGCAAGCCUGAUGCAGCGACGCCGCGUGGGGGAUGACGGCCUUCGGGUUGUAAACCUCUUUCAGUAUCGGCGAAGCUCCAGGGUUUUCUUUGGGGUGACGGUAGGUACAGAAGAAGCACCGGCCAACUACGUGCCAGCAGCCGCGGUAAAAC
rnacentral:rRNA from 1 species